rnacentral:lncRNA from 1 species
AUGGCAUUGAUGCGCUGCUUGCUAUUGAAGAUGCAUCACUGCAAGUGGAAGCUGGGGAAGGUGGAGGACCCAUCUCAGUUUUCACUGGUUCCUGCUUACUUUCAGGCUUGGCCUCUGUAGUCUUGCUGGCUUUCUCCAUAUUUUUCAAGCUCUCUGGUGACCGAAGCUGAAAUCGACAGCUGUCAUUCAUGUUCCAAACAGAUUCCAUUAACACACCCACUUUUGGAAUUCCAGCGCUGAUUGAAAAAGCAACUGCUCCAGCAUGGUAUAGGGGGUUAUUUCUUAAGCACACCUGGGUUCCAACAGUUAUAUUUGGCAUGGAGGAGAUACCAGCACUGGACUUAGGCUUUUUAUUUUUUGCUCUGGCCUUUUCUAGCAUUUUCUUCCUUUGGCUGAAAGGAACUACACCCCACCAGUACAAGUUAUUCUCUAGCUGAGCACAUGUAUAAAGAGCACAACAAUGUAAGGAAACAAUCCGUUCUCCCUGAAGCUCUGAGUACGUCUGUGCAGUAUGUUCUAAUUUAGAUGCUACUGAGCUUAAAGUUUCAUCCACCCAGGUAGCAACCUUGUUAUUUUCAGUGGCAACAGUUGCUCUAAUACUAUUUGCAGAAAGGAGCACAAUCUUUUCAUUGGUUAAUCCCAAGAACAUGGCACGUGGAUGGUGUAGGGAAGGAUUCUGUGCAUUUCUAUAAGGCUCUGAUUCACUCCACUUCCAUUGAUAGAGUUCUCCUUUACUGUUAACUGCCACAAGCUCAGAAUAUAGGGCUCCAAUAGAGAUAAACUUUGUUCCAUCCUUAUCUGGCCACCACUGUAAGUCUUCUCCUAGAGAAACAGGACUUUGAACAGGUGCAUUCUUCUUGUCCAGGUUUGGUUCCCCCUCCUUACUUGUAGAGCCUCUUUCAUUAUCAAAUGAGGCUCCAUCAAGCCACCUUCGUUCACGCAAACGUAAAACGGACUCACGUUCACGCAACAGCUCAGAGUCUCUCUCUCUGGAUGAGCCUAGCCUGGAAAGUGAUGAGCGCCGAAAGGAUGGAUAACCAAAGUAACUAAUAUCUUCUGAAAACAUAGCAUCAGCAUCAAUAAUGACACUUGGGUGAGCAGAAUGUAUGUCAGCAUCCAGAAGAGACAUAAGAUCCUCUCCAGGAAGGUAUGAUUCACUUGCUGUGUCAUCCCCAUCAUCUCCAUCUUCAUCAUCACGACUUAACAAAUUAUUUACAGCAAGAUUUACAUCAAGAUUUGUUCGCUGGAGUUCCCGAAUGAUAAUACUUCUGGACUUCCCUUGUAGAACAACUUGUGCCUGUGAAAUGAGUUCCUCUGGAAUGACUGAUGCUGGAAUCACUGGUUGUGGUUGACUCCCCAGCAGUCCGGAUCCUCUGUCUCGCCCUGUGCGUAUAACUCUGGUCUGCCUUCGAGAAUCUCGAGCUCCAGCAGAUGACCUCCCAGAAGAUCCUCCUCCACUUCCACCAACCCCUGAACUCCAGCGACUCCCAUCGCUAUUAUCAGGUUUACCCAAUUCCAAUCUGUCUGGCUGAACUGAAAAACCAAUCCUGCAGACUCUACCAUCCUCAAGAAGAAACGCAGCAUGAUUUGGUCCCACCACACACUGUUUAAUAGUAGCCUGUUCCAAUACAUUCAGAGGGGGGUGGCUGUUUAAAUUAUAUUUGUUCAACUUCUCUGAUACUUCCCUUAACCGGUCAUUGAGCUGAUCCUCGGUGCCCGGCAGCGGGUGCACCACGAAGUGGAUCGAGGUCAUGGUCGGCGCCGGCGCCGCCGCCGCCGCCCCCCCGGCGGCGGGAGGGAGGGAGGCGGGCGGGCGGGGGCCGGGCACACAAUGGGGGCGGGGGGGAGGGGGGCGCUCGGCCUCCGGCCCUCCCCCGGGGGUGCUCGCGGCCGUCGGCGGAGCGCUGGGCUCGCUGGGAGACGCGCAGGACUCGAAGGAGAGCCGGCUAAGCUACGGCGACGCCGGGAGGAGGCUCGUCCCGCACCGCGCUCACACACGCGCCGCCAUCUUAACUUCCAGCGGGCCCUUCUCCCUCCCUCCGUGCGCCGAGCCGGGCGGGGCGGGGCCGCGCCGCGUAGCCACGCUGCAACGCUCGCGCCGAGUGGCGGACGCGCUGCUGGGCGGGGCCCUUCCACUAAAACCGCCGUCGAUAGGUAGGAGGCUCGCGCCGUGCGCGGUGACGUCAUGCGCGAGGGGCGUAGUAGACCACGUGAGGAGGGGCGGUAAGAGCCCGUCCCGCGCCUCAGGGAGCCCCGCGAGCCGCCCCUCCCCCCCCUCCGCCUUCUCUCAGCCGCCGCGCCUGGCGGGCCGCCCGCAGCUCUUGGGGGCGGGGUUCGCCGCCCCAGCGCCGGCCGAGGGGUUUCCCCGCCCGCUGCGUGCGCUGGUUCGCGUUCCGGAACUGACUGCGUACGUGUGACUCGCGGCGGCGCGGCCCGGCCGCUCCUUGACAGAGUCGCCUCUCACACCGGGGAAAGCGCGGCCGUGCGGCGCGGAGCGCUCCGUCCCGGAGCGCUGAGGUGGCUGAGCGGGAGGAGCCGCGCGUAGCGCGUUGCCAUCUCACCUUACUGGAAAUUGAGUAACAAAGUCAGCAAAACGGCUGCUUGCCUUUAUAGAAACCAACACCUGGGCUGGGGCUGUGCCCGGCUCUGGCUUCUUCUUGUCUUUACAACUGCAGUUGGCUGGUUUUGCAGCUCAGCCGUGUUUAUCUUCGGCAGAGCGGGAAUCGGGAGAAGCAGCCGGGAACGUUUUGGAGUGGGAAGAGCCGCGCGGCCACGGGACAGCGGUCCAAAGUUACCGCAGCCCGGCUCCGUGGGUGGCGGCUCGUGUGCCUGACGUCCCGAGCGGUGCGGCUGCGCUCCCGCUGCCGAAUCCGCGGGCGUUGGGGGCCGUUGGGCCGCCUCGUUCUGCAGCCCGUGCCCUCCUCCGGCACAGCCGUCCUCCUGGAGCCCGGCUCUCUUUCCCCAUAUGUCUGCUCUCGGGUGGCUGUGGUACUGAGCGAAUACGUAUAAGUUACUCAGAUUGUCGUUAAGGCAGAGCCUGACAGGUUUCUAGCAAUACACAGGGCAUGGAGUGUGAUCAAUUCUGCUUUCUGCUGAGACAAUACAGUAGCUGUGCUUUUAGAAACAGGCAGAUCCACGGUUUACUCUUUUUUUUUUUUCCUGCUUCUUCUGUUAGAACGGGGCUAGGACCUUCUGGAUGACUUAGUGUUGUGUUUGCUUGUAGCACAGUAUUUGUUUUGUUCUGCUUUAUUAUCAUUAUUGAUGAUUUCCCUCAAGUAUUCCCCUUGUUUACUGCAGUGGGAGAUUUCUUCUAAACUAUCUUGACCACAGCCAUUUUAUCACAAUCUCUGCUGUGUUCCAAUGGUCACCUGAAAAACUUGGCAGCUCAAUUUGUAUUUAUUUUAUUUUCUACAGACAGUAAUCGCGUAUUUCCUUUUAGCAGUCAUUUUUCUGUUGAGCUGUUGGGCUAAGUGAAGCCCUGUGGUAGGUCUUGCUGCAUCCCUGGGGAUGUUUCUACUAUAUUUAGUAGAACUUGGGAAGAUACAGUUAAUUUAUGUUUGCUCUUAGGAUUAAAACCUAGUUUCCAAAGCACUGACAUUUCCAAAUAACGUGACUUGUGCAAUGGAGUUCUCUUAAGGGUUGGGCAUAAGGAUGAGAUUUCAAUUACUUUCAAUUACUCUAUUCCUUCCACCCUUCACAAGCAAGUUUUAAAAGUUAAUGGGGUAUGGAAACCUAUUAGAUGAAGGACAGGAAAAGAGCAGGAAAAGCCCAAAUGGAGCAUAUGUCUGUUAGGGCUCAGCAGUCCGCUGCUGGCAUUUCUAAGUAGUCAUUUUCUGUGGCUUUCUUUACAUUAUGACUGAACCUCAGUUUUAGCCAUUGCCUAUGGCUGUGCCAACACAAACACUCAGCAUAAUCAAAAGGGAAGAAAAAAUUGAUUUCACUGGAACUUGUGCUCAGAGCCAGAAUAAACUUCAGUAAUGCAGAUCUUGGCUUUUAUUGUUCACUCUAAGAGUUUAUACCUUCUCUCAAAUGGCAGAUAAUCCUAUGUGUAGAUGAGAGGACAUCAAUCCUAGUGUUCAGCUGACAUUUGUUAUUCUGAUGUGAAUGUAUAACACAACAGAAGGUUCAGCAUACUGUCAGAAGCACCCUAUAGCAAUGAUGAAAGACAAUAUUUUACCAGUUGAUCUCUGGAGUACCUUCCACUGAUGUAUUUCUUAUGUAAGGAUCACGUAGGUGAUGGUGUUUGUUGGACCUUUGAAUCCUCUGAAGUGAAUCCAAACAGAGUUGCUUUCUGAUUGUAGAACUGCUCGUUCAGUCAUGUUUGUUAAGGACUUCAAUAUAAUUGACUUUUCCUAAGACCUCUGGAUUUUCCGAGUCUGUUGGAUGACAACAUCAAAAAAUUUGUAUUUAGUAAGUCAUGAAAAAAACUCAAGAACACAGCCACGUUUUCUUGCUUUAUAAAGGGUGUAGUUAUGACAGGAUUUAUGUCUUGGCCUAAGAAAUUCAGUUCCCUUUGUUGCACAACUCUUCUGCACACAAAUGUUGCUAUUUUCAGGCCUACUGAUAACGAAGAUGCUUCCUUGUGAAGGUGCAACUAAAAAUACACCAACACCCAACCAGCAGAACAAGUUUGUUGCUGGUAUUUUUGUCUAAUUUGAAUUUCUGCUAGCUUGGAAAUGCCAUAUAAAUGAACUCCUGUGGACUUACUGUGGUCGUGUCUGAAAUUGGAAUUUUGAUAAUCAUCAGCAUCUGAAGUUCUUGGAAUCAGAGAAGCACGUGAUGUGGAAGGGACUUCUGGAGGCCAUCUUGUGAAGCUCUCUGCUGAAGGCACGCCCAGCUCAAGUGGAUGGUUUGGGAACUUUUCCACCAGAAACGUCUUCUGAAAAGCAUGCCACAGGGCAGGCUUAUUGCCAACAGCUUGCUCUGCUCGCUCCGCAGCUGCAGGUCUUGUGUUUUCUGCAGGUUUCUAUUGCAAGUCUGUUAGUCCUGAAUGGAGGGGACUCAGUAGAAGUGGGAAGAUUGGGAUGGAAAGACUGCAAGGGACAUUGUUCUGUAAACAGUGGAAGCAGAUGGUGGCAGGUAUGCCAUCGACAGUGGUACCCAUUGCUGAUGCAGCACGCUGAUGUAGGGGAAGAGGCCCUGAACAAAAGCAAAAGCCUCAGGCAUCCAAGGAGGACCCUACUGUGCAUUUUCCAGGCUGUUGACUUCAGAUGUCAACAAAGAUGACAUCAGGCUGGCAGCUUAACAUUAUAUUUUGCUGUGGAAGAAAUGAGGCCGGCAUUCUUGGAAAUGUCAACAAGAAUGCUCUGUAGAAUACUUCAGCUUCCAGAUUAUUCCCAAGACUGAACAGAAGUUUUUAGAGUGAUCAGCAAAGUGCACUACAAAGAAAGAAAUCUUGUUCCCAGCACCUUGUGCUACAAACCCAAGCAAAGCAAGUCCCUCACUGCUUCUGUCUACGUAGAGUAUGAGUAUUUUGUUUGGGGUGGGAAUAUGAAGCUCUUAAACCACAUUGGUGUGUUUUGCAAUACUUAAACUAGCUGUGCGUGGUUUGCGAGUUAACGGUAGGAAUCAAAGAAUUCCAGGUGUGGAGGUCUGUGCUGGUUGUCAUUUGCUUUCUGCUGUCUUGGAUUACAUUUUGCCAUGCUCUCAUCUCAGAUUUUAAUAGCCUGAGUUUUUUAGUAUGUUGCUGACUUAUGAAAGCUGAAAUUUCAUCCUGAUGGCAACAGAUGCCAGGUAUUGUUUAUAAUCUCUAAUUUUCUAACUUAUACCUGACUGUAUAGUGACAAGGUUGCUGUACGACAAAAAUCAUUUCUUUGUUCUCUCAUCAGAAUGAUGCUUAUCUUGAAGAAGGAUUGUUGUUUGAGGCCACAGAAAAUAAGGUAGCUUAGUAAGGCUCAGAGUUGAUGAAAACUUGUUUCCCAUAAAUUUUUUCUUACAGUGGGUCUGGUAGAGUACAUGCCAUGGCUCUCUGCUCUGUAGAUUCUCCAGUAUCUAAAAAGCAUUGAAAUCUGCUGCAGUCUUUCCCUUUGUUGGGUCAGUGAAGCUAGCGGAGACCUCUGAGACCAGCCUUAUGCCAAAAUUUGGCUGAAAGAGGCUCAGAUGUUCAGAAAUUAACAUUGUGAGCCAGACACAUCGACACAGUCUGCUCAUGUAGUGCUCGCUACCACACACAGACUAUAACGCAUCCGUUUGAAAUCAAGUGAUAAUGCAGAUACCCAAUCUCCUUUCCCCUUUCUUGUCUCAUCUGCUUGGCAUUUCCUCCCCCAGCUCUGCAGUGAAGGACUCCUGGAUUAGAAAUCAGAAUUCUGCACCCAUUUUUUCUUUCUUUUGUGUGCUCAGAGUUACUUUCUCCCAGUUAGGGAGUGUGUCUGGAAUUGAGGUGAGGUUUCCGCCAGUACUCAGUACAGUUUGUAGAUCCAUCAGUAUCUGGCAGACUGCAGUUUUGUCUACUGCCCCUAAGCCUACACUUGGCAUUGCUUCCUCACCCUUGUUAAUGGCCCCUUACCUGCAUCCCUGUCUGCCAGCUCCCACAAGAACACAUCUAAAUACCUUUUCCUUCUGAGCAGGCAUCCAGGAUGUCUUCUUGACCAGGGCCAGCCACAGAGUUCAAGUGAUGGCUUCCAUAUAUGAUGAACUGACCCAUCCACCAACCAGUGUGACUUAGCAUAAGCAGAGGAGCUCACCAGGCUUCCUGAGCAUCUUGCAGGAGCUGAACUCCCCCAGAACGGUGGCCACGGACAACAGCAUUUUGAUUCUGUGCUUGGGAGGCAGUGUGUAGAGAGCACACAGACACAGUGUAUGUGAUGGGUAUAUUUCUGCAACUUUAUGUCACCUGGGCAGAUGCUUCUAUGCAGGCAAUAGAAAAGUGGAGUUUAGCUAGUUUGCAUCAAAUUGGAUUCCACUGGGAAUGGAACUAUCUUCCAUUGGGUUGGAUUCAUUACUCUUGCCUUAACCAUAUUUACCUUCAGAAAUGGCACCUUUGAAAAAGAAUCACCGUGAUUCAUGUACCAUCUUCAGAAAUUAUUGCAGUGCCAGUUUGUUACUGGCAGUGGAGACCUUGCAGUACAAAAUCAAGUGGAUUAUCCCAUGGGCUCUGGUGGAGCCAGAAUUUAACUUUUUGUGUGCUAAUUUUCUGGCCUCUGGUCUUCUGUCGUCAAACAAUCACCUACCACUGACAGCUGAUUAUAAUACGGAAAGAAAGAGUAGGUGAUUCUCACAUUUGUUUUGGAUUCCAGUCGCCUUUUCUGAAGCAUGGGUUUCUGUCCAGUCUCACCCCAAAGGAGGCCGGGCUGAGUGCUCAGACUGAUCGAAAUGGCAGCAGGAGGACUGAGCUGAAGGCCAGCUUCAAAUUGAGACUCCUGAUGUGAGCGAUAACACAGGCACACGCAGAGGAAGCCGAGCUGCUUGUGGAACAGCUCCCGAGCAGCCUCUGUUUACAGCUGGCAUUUUAAGCAAACCAGAGACUGUGUCAUUUGAGAAGUGAUAAACAGUGGCUGUUCGGGAGAAAUUUGGCCUCUAGAAUGAGAGUACGCAGAGGCUGCAAAUUUGCAUGCCCUUCUGAAAUAACUCUUCCAUAUUUGUCAGCUGGAGGCUUUGGCUGAGGGCAUACAGGUAUGGCUUUGAACACAGCACUCCAGCAGUGAAAAGCUCAUCUCUUGGACCCUUCCAUUCUCUUUAAAUGAUAGGCUUUGCUUUCAGGAGAGAUCUUACUGUUCUGCUAGCAAUCUUGUGAGUGUUUUCUUUCCCCUUAAAUCACCAAGGACAUUUACACAGAACAGGAAGGCUGGUUUUUGAAUGUUCCUCUAUCCCAGUAGCACAUUCCCAAGCUGAGAACAUAAUUGCACCAGGUCAUCUCAACCAGUUGCCCAAGUGAUUAAAUGUCAGAAAAAUAUAUGUUGAUUCCUGUGAAGAGAGACAGCUUUAACCGAUGGAAGUCCCAUGAAAUGAAGCUUUAGGAUUUCUGUGGUAAUGAUGCUGAAGGAAAAAAAAAAAGCAGUGGGGGGGCUCCAAGCAGGAAUAGAGGCAGUACAGAGAGACCAGAGAACUGCUUCUGCAGUUACUGAAAUGAAUGGAGUAAAGCAAAACCAAAUAAAUAACUCUGAGGGGCUGAGGCUUUCCUGUCCCCGGGUGUUCCUCCAGGCAAAGCGCCAGAGGAAGAGGAGCAGCAUGGAGAGGUGAGAAAGAUAAAUUGAGAAUGUUUUUCUGGUGUUGCCUGGUUUCUAGGGCUGGAAGUGCAUUUGUAUGGGAACAGUAGGCAGUGAGGUGGCAUCAGCUAUGCUCUAGUAGUAGCCAUUGCAGACAGGUUGAAAGUUAAAUGUGUAUUGGACCAUUUGGUUUUGGAUUUCUUAGGCUUUCAGCAUUUAAAACGUGCUGAAAUGCCAGGUGAGGUUAACAGUCCCCUCUCCUACACAGAAGAGUCACUGCAAGGAGAAGAUUUCAUGCUUUACAUCUGUCUCCUAAAGUGAGGGAGCAAGGAUCUUUGAGGCAUGCAGCUCAGCCAGCAGCAAGCACCUCAUAACUGCCCUCCAAGCUGGGGGUGGGAGUCACAUGCAGACAGGAGGCUCCAUCCAGGUGUCUGAUCUCCCUUAGAGCCAGCACAGACUCAGCCUCCACUGUCAGCAGAGCCAGGGUUUAGUUCAGCUGCGCUCCUGGGGAGCUGUGUCCUUCCCUGGGGUCUUUGGGGCACUGCAGGACACCUCAGUGUGAGCACAAGAGCUGGCUGCGGGCAGCCAAGAUGGCACCGGGGAAGAACGCUCAAGGCUCUGCAAUAGCAAAGAAACAACAGCUCCCUGUAAAAAUUGGUUUUGCAAGCCUAGUUGAAGACUUCAGACAAACACACUGAGCUGAACCUUCUUAUUAUGUGAAGCGUUAAUAUCUACCACUUAUUUCUGAAGCCGUGUUUUAGAUUUUAUUUCCGAGACAAAAGAGUCAUUUUAAAUUAUGCAAAUGAGCUGCCAAAUGCAAGGCAUUAUGCAGAUUUCUAGAGGCAUGCAGCAGAGAGUUAACUCUUUGUGCUACAGCUCGCUGCCAAGUGCCUGAACAGUAGUACUGCGUGAACACUCGUCAGACCUCAUAGCUGUAAUUACGAUUGUUCUGCAACAAGACUUGUGACACGAGGCUAACCCUUGUGCACACAAUGAUUAACUAUUGGUUUUACAUCGACAUAGGAGGUAAAAUUGCUGCAAUGCUCACCUUGUGCUCCUGCCCAACACAAGCUAUAUCCAAAGUCAGCCUGGAAAAGUGUCAUGGCUGUUGGCCAUUGUUUAAUACGAGUUGUUUGCAGAGUAUUUGAAGUGACUGUCAUGGGAGAAAUAUUAAAUUGCCUUCUCAAGUGUCAGCAACUCUGAAAACAAAUGGCAGUGUCAAGAAGUCAUCCCAGCUCUCUGGAUUGGCAACACAAGAUAAAGGAGUGACCGUGACUUUCUGGGAAGGGGGGUUAUAUAAAGAGUUGCAUUUUGUGGUGGUUCAUGAGUUCAGUAGCUCAUCGUUCCACCCAGAUAAAGAGGUAGUGAGAAUGACUCUCAACCAGUAACAGAUGGGUUUUGAUAGAAAUCCAGGUCCUGAUCUGCUUUGGAAUCUUGCCCUGGUCUCUGCAACUGAUGCCAACAGCUGACAUAGCUGCACUGGUGCAAACAUUGGUCUUAAGCAAGAAAUACAAUGGUUUAGAGCAGUGAAGCAUGACAAAUGCCAGGAUUUGGCAAAUUCCCAAUGCACACAAGGGUGUAUGUGCAGCUAAUCUCUGGAGAGGAUGCCUGAUGCAGAGGUAAGCCAGUCAUAGCAGCAGCCCAGCCUCGUUUCACACAGGGUGGCUUUGAAAGGACCGCUUACAAGCCCAGCCACGCUCAGGUGGGACAGCAAGCUCCACCAGCACGUGUGUGUUCAGUGUCAGGCAGCUUCAGGUCCCACCCAGGGCUGCACGCAGGAGUACCUGACCCGGCUUUUCCUCUGGCACAACAGUUGUUCACAACACAGGGAGAGCUCCCAGAACAGCAGGGGGCCAAUGAAUACACAGCGGCACUUGCCAUUCAUCUUCUAGCUGCUAAAUGAUGCAGGGAUAUUUUCCCCCUUUGCUAUCUUUGUAUGUGUUUGUGCAGUGAAUGACUUCAGUAACAAACAAUGUCUCAGAGCUCCUCGAGGAGACUGGGGCAGUUUGGGUUCCUCUCAAUUUGCAUGCCCUCACAUCCAAACUCAGGUUUGCUGUGCUCGCCAAACUGCUCACUCACUUCCUUUUUAGCUAAAGGUGUCGGAGCAAGCUGUUAGAGCUGGCACAACAUCCUGGAUAAACACUUCAAUGUCUUCAAACCUGGAUGCUAUCAGUGCAUUGACAGACUUAAAUAAAACCUACUGACAGUUUUAAACUGAGUGCACUGGUGUGCACAGAUAGGUUAGCAAGGGUUAGCUGCUUUGGUUUGCUGUCAUGUAUUUGGAAAGAGUUGUCCAAAGCACAGAAUCAACAUCAGUUAUUUCAGACAGGCAAAAGGAAUAAAUGCAGAGAUUAGAGGAAAUAUUGGUCCUAUGUCUUCUUAAAAAAAAAAAAAAAAAAACUGGAGUUUUUCAAUUACUCAGCAAUUUGAGCAGUAGAACUGGUUAGUGGAAAAAGUAAGAAACCUACCACCUCUAAUAAAUAGUUUGGGGGUUUGUUAGUUUUGGAGGGAGCAGCUGAAAAGGAUAUAAAUCAGACAGUACUGCUGCUAGUGUGCUUGCCCUGCCAGCUGAAAAGAACUGAACUUGUUUGAAUAGGCAGAAGUGCUGUUUUAUGAAAGCCCACAUCUCAAAACAAAUUUGAGCACAAAGACCAUGAAAGGAAGUUGCUAGGAAACCUCUACGAUGCAUUUGUGAAGUCUGCAGUGCAGGCACCUGUAGGAGAAUUGUAACCACCUGCCAGCCUGUGUAUUUCCCAAAAAAUGUGCGAAACUGCAGUCCACAUUCAUUUCCUUAAAUGAAACCUCAGGAAAUGCCUCACAGUCCAUGUUAAAUCCGUGCAGCUUCAAGGGGCUGUAAAACAUUCCAGGAGCCAUCACUGAUGACCAAACAUGAAGGUCCUUGCCCACACUGCUGCUGAAGGCUGGACCUCUGUGCACAGGAAGCUUUGCUGGCUCAUACCUGUAGUCAUCUUCAUUAGGUUCUUAGGAAAGAUUCUUGUUUCCUGGGAAAUCGUGCUGUAACCUUGCCAGUGCUGAGAUUCAAAUGAGGUAGCUUUCAGUCAGGACAGCCCUUUGGAAGCAAGCCCACGGAGCCCCAUCUCUGUGGCACCUGGCCUCAGGAUGGUUUUUGCCAGCAGAUGUUUCCCAUGAGCUUGUUGCCACCUCUAGUAUGGCUUUUUCCUGCACGAGGAUGCUCCAGAAAGCUAAGGCAAAUGAACUGAAGAUGUUAAGGCUGCAGGUCCACUAAGUCAAAUGGCUGUUACUGCCCAAAUUUCUGCAAAGUAGCCAUAAUUAUGAUAUCUUAAUUGUCUUAACUCUGGAUUACUUUCCUAUGGUUACAUCUUAGCUAAACAUGAUCAUUCAAACCUGUUUUUUCAAGGCAAUUGAUAUCUGAAAGAUUGGGAAAUCAUCAAGAACAUAUUUUUCAUUCAUUAGUAAGUAAUCUGUCAGUACAACUCGUGACUGGGAUAAGACACGUCUGUACCUCAGGUAUUGCUAGGAUUGCUCAUCUAUGCACUUCCUCAACAGACUUCCAAAGAUAUGAGACAUGAGGCACAGUGACAGAAUCAUGAAAUGUUGUGAGCACCAUAAGCAAAGCAGGAUGGCCAUGGCUGAAGUCUCAGUGAAUUUCUCAUGUGUGGGACUCCUGUGUUACUGCAGCCCUGGAAAAUCCCCUUCUGCCAGUGUGCAUCCUUUCUACAUCACCACAGACUGCCCAGCAUGUUCCCCAGACCUCCAUCUAUUGAGAUGACCUGGCACAGCUAAAAGCCCUUAGCGCACAAAAGCCGAGCCUUGGGAUCUGCACUCCUUCAAAGAAUGCAAUACAUUAAGAGAAACCAGGAAUGUGCGCUAGGCCUGGGGAUGCUGCUUUGAAGAAAGAUUUCCUUCAAAACAGAGAUUCAAUUCACAGCAAGGGAGGCACCCUGGAGGAGAUAUGCUGAUAUGCAAUAUGUGAAGUGCAGCUGUUAAAGGAUCCUGCAUUCUGCUUUUUGUUGUCCCUUGACACAUAAAAAAAGAAAGAUCCAAAUCUUCAGUUUAACUUAAAAAAAAAAAAAAAAGCUGUUAGGAAAUCUUUUUUUACACAACAUAUAAUUAACGCAUAGAAUCAGCCUUGGAUAUUACUGACAGGUUUAGACUAGCUUUGCACUCGAUGGUCUAGCAAUGUUAGUUUGCUAUGUGACUGUGUUGCUGGGUAGGAAGGGCUCUGAGACAUGCUGUAGUGGCAGAAACCAAGCUAUUAGUUCUAAAAGGUAUAUAUUUUUUCUUCCAAUAUAUCUUCUGGAACAUCAACAUUUUGCAAGAUCUACAGAAACAUCUGGAGCUUUCCUAGUUCAGGCCAGUUUUUCUGCAUGUCAAAAAAGAUCACACACUUGCAUAGAUUGCUUUUCCAAUGGUGUCAGCUAGAGGAAUACUACAUCCAGGAACUCUCAGCUCCCAUACUUUGGGGCACAGAAGGCAACAUUCAUUUCACCUGUUUUGCAGUGUGAGUGCCCACACCUGAGCUGCUGCUCGGCACCUUUGAAGCCAGCUGGGAGAAAUAGGGACCUGACUGGCUUAGCUGUACAGGGAUUAAUCAUGCCCUGGGAUCACCUCUCUUUCUUCAUUGCCUCAAAGGAAAUUCAGAUGGGAAUGGAUGUGUGUUCUGUAGAGGUUUGAUGGGGACUGUGUGGGCCUGGUCAAAGUGAUUGCUGGCUGCAGGUGGGAGCCAUCUGCCCCUGCCCUGCAUGGACCCUGCCUUGUGGUGCCCCUUCAAGAGGCACAGCUGCCCUGCAGGAAAGUUGCGCUCCUAGUGUGAAUCACCUCUGCAGCCACCUGGGAACGUGUCACCACGCAACUGCCAGCUCCCCUCAUUCACCUGGUGCUGAGCAGCACCCAGGCAAGUUAUGCUUCCAAGGCAGAGCUGCUGAGAAGCUAGGAGAACAGGAAAGGCAGGUUAAAAUGCAGGUGUUGCAGAAGGAAGAAGUGACUGGCAUAGGAGCAAAGCUGCUCACGUAGCCCAGCAGCUCCCAUCCAGCUCACGUCAGGGUGCAAGGCAGCAACACAGCCCUCGUUGGAGAGACUCUUCCCCUAAACAUCCAGCACAGUCAGCAGCCAUCAGAGGCAGGAUGCCAGAGCAACCCCAUACCCUGUUCAUUGCCACAGCAUCUAUGUGCAUGGGCAGCAUUAUCUCAUCCCCUAGACCUGAGCCUGACACUGGUACUGACACCAGUGGGUGAUCUGGGAGAUCAGUGCUGCCUCAAUAUGCUGUGAUUGCUGUGGUUCAUCAGGGUGCAGGCUUUAUUUUAAACUCCUCCAUAACAUGAGAAGUCACACUCUGGCCCUGCCUCAUGAGCCAGCAGUAUUCCCAGGUGGCCAAGGCCAAUGGCAUCCUGGCUUGUAUCAGAAGUAGCGCAGCCAGCAGGAGCAGGGAGGUGAUCAUCCCCCUGUGCUCAGCCCUGCUGAGGCUACGCCUCAAGUACUGUGUUCAGUUCUGGGCCCCUCACUACAAGAAAGACAUCAAGGCCCUGGAACGUGUCCAGUGAAGGGCAGUGAAGCUGAUGAGGGGUCUGGAGCACAAGUCUUAUGGGGCGUGACUGAAGGAACUGGGAUUAUUCAGUCUGGGAGAAGAGGAUGCUUAAGGGAGACCUUGCUGCUCUCUACAACUGUGUGAAAGAAGGUCGUGGAGGUGGGGAUUGGCCUCUUUCCCAGGUAACUAGCAGUAGGAUGAGAGGGAAUGGCUUUUAGUUGCACCAGGGGAGGUUGAGGUUGAAUAUUAGGAAACAUUUAUUCUCAGAAAGAAUGAUGAGACAUUGGCACAGGCUGCCCAGGGAUGUGGUGGAUACCGUCCCUGGAGGUGUUCAAGAAACUUGUAGAUGUGGUACUGAGGGACACGAGUUAGUGGGCAUGGUGGGGAUGGGUCACGGUUUGGACUAAGUGAUCUCAGUGGUCUUUUCCAACCUUCCUGGUUCUAUGAUUCUGUGAUUGUAUGUCCCAGCAGUGCUGCUGCCAAAGGCAGAAAGGAAUAAUUAAAACUGUACUCAGUGGCAUACAGAGGGAUUCCGAAUUCCUUAAAAGCAGAGUUGAUCAGAGCACUGGUUUUAUCUGGUCUUUGAUCUAUUUCACAAAUAAAGCCAUAUGGAUGUGACUGGAGAGGGCUCAUGCUGUGAGCUUGGAUUUUUAUAAUCACAGGUGUCUGGAAGUGCUUGUCAGCCUGAUUUGUGCCUUUUUUCCAGCCUGAUGUAUAAUACAAUUAAAUUAUAGUUCUCAUGUUAUAAGCGAGACUUCACAGGUUUCUUGGGAGAGGAUGCUAAGCUCUGAGGCUACCUUUUUUUAUCUUUCAGAAUUUUUCUAAUUUCUAUUCUGAAGCCAUUUAAUUUGAUAAUUACCCACAGAGGAAGAAAAUCAAUUCAUACAAGUCUUGGAUAACAACACUUCAUGGAGACAUUUUGUGCUCUUUCUCCUCUGCAUGUAACUGCAGUUCAGUAAUGUGUUUGCCUGUAAUACCACUGCUGAAGCUCCAGCCUGUUUCUGUAAGAUCCACAGCAUGUAGAAUCUUCCCUUGUACCUUCGGGUCUGGCUACUUUUGGGGAUGAUUCAGUUUUUGUUUAUGCAGCUGUUCCCAAAAUUAAAAGCCAGCAAAAGAAACGAAUACAAUGAAAUAAAAAUCCGUAAGUUGAGGAACCUCUUCUUUCGCAGUGCUGAAUCUCUCAGAGCCCAGCCUGUGCCCAGAUGUAUUUCCUUCAUCCAUCAACCAGCUGUUCCUUCAGCUCACCACUGCUGCUAGCGCUGCCGAAACAAGCUGCCAGGAGCUCUUCAGUUUAACCACGGGGUUAUUUACAGCUGCUUUGAGGAUACCAUAGAUAAAAUCUAUCUAUGGCCCUGGGAUAGACUCAGUGGAGAAGGUAAGGCUGAUACAGCUUCCAGUUCACCACUGGCAAGGAUGUCCCUGUCACGAGGUAGGACCUGUACUGCUACACCACUCACCCUUCGUCACUGCCAUCUCUACACCUUGCUGCAACAGUCCUUACUUCCUGUGGGCAAGCAAGAGCUGCUCACCCUUCUUGGAUCAGGGAAGAAAACUUGAGAAAAUGAAGGCAGAAUUAGGGUGCCUGUAUAUUUAUGUUGCCAGAGCCCAUGCCUCUUCUGUUCAUAGAGAGAGAGAAGCUGUCAUAGGAAUGACAUGAAGUAGGUGCUGAGAUGUGACCACAAGCAAAAGGCGUCUUUGUUGAUCCAGAGUGCUCAGCCAGUGUUGAUGAAUGACGUAAGAUUAUUUCAUCACUCAGUUCUCAUUAAAACUAGUUGUUUGUUUUCAGUCCUUAACUGAACAGAUGAGAUUGGAAAUGUUUCACAUAAUCACAGCUUUUACUGAGAUAUAACAGAAUUAUUAAGCACCUUCAAUGUUUUUCAACUUCAUUUGAAUCACAUAAAAUAUCAAAACACUGGCAUCUAAGCAAAGGGCUUCAAUAAUCUUGUUUUGGUAUUCAUACUAAGUUUCAGUUGGAGUGAAAGGAGGUUUGAAAUAAUCAAAUUUCCCAAGAAAAUUUGAGUUCUGAGAUUCCCACAACCUCAAGCCUCCUUGUGCGAGCAGGAGGAGCACAGUGAUGCUGCUGGCAGGCACAUCUCUGCCUGCAGUGAUUGAGGGCAGCCAGCCCAGCCAGCCUGCUGCAAAGGGAAUUCCCAUGCACAUCCCAUCAGAUGCUUCUGGUCCUCUUCCAGAAAACCCUGAUUGAAAUGCAAAGGACUUCCCCAGCAUUCAAGUAACCUUGGCAUUUCUCUGACAAGUGGCUAGGCCUUACCUUCAUCAUGCAGAGAGAAAAACAAAAGGUGGCUAUGCAAGUAUGCACACUUUUCCAUCGAAGUAAGCAUGGAUAUUGUAGAAAUGAGAGUUCUUUCUUACAUCACAUUAGCACAUUAAUUUCUACACCAGCAGCCAUCUAUUUCAUUUCUUGAGGAGUGUCCUUAGUAGAAGUGGAUGUCAGAGUGGAUAUCAGACUAUGAACUAGCAACAUAAAAUGCAUUUUUAUAGAGAAUAACGUCUUCUUUAUUUAAAUGUAGGUAGAAAAGAUGCCUAAAUAGGAAGAACAAGAUCCAGCAAAUGCACUCCAUACUAGACUCAUUGGAGGCCACUGGGUCUUGGCACCUGUUACCAAUCCUGAGCUCACACCUUCCAGGGCAAGCUGUGCACUGCUGCACAGCACCCACACAUCUCUUCUGCUUACCUGAGAGCUGGAAAGUACAGACAGCACUUGUCUUCAGUUGUUCCACACUUUAAAUUGCUUCUGGGCUCCAGGCUUGCAGUUUGCCAAGCUAUUUGAACCAAACGGGAGCAGCUGGAAUACUGAAAUGUUGGCUGAAAACAAAAGUGGAAACAAGGGGAUUUUCAGAGCAGCUUUAGGGUCUGAAAACUACUGCUGCCGUUCUGUUUGCACUACAGAAAUGUUGGCAGCCUGGAUACAAUUCUGUUUGAGGCAGAGGGAAGGCAUUUCAAUGUAAGCAGCAGGCUGUUCUCUUUAAGCAGUACAGCACCUUUCAGAUGCUGCCUCUGGGAAGGACAGACUGACUGGAGGGAGAGAGAGGAGCCUUUCUGUAGCAUCACCCCUAGGUCCCCAUGAUGUGUCAGCAGGAAGCUGUUGCUGUGAGUGUAUCUUCCAAAUGGCCCACACUGCACAACACAGACUCAUAGAAUCAUUAAGGUUGGAAAAGACCUGUAAGAUCAUCUAGUGUAACCAGGCUUAGCUGUCCCAGAGGCUACCACAGCGAACCAGCAGAACUGGAGCUAAUGUGGGGAUGUUGAGACAUGUGGGGUUAGAAGAGGCUUUAAGGGCAAGCCUAGUGCAUGAGUGCAAAUGCCAUGAUGAGAUGGGCACACCACUGGCUUCUCUCCAAGGCAUGAUGCAGCAGGAUGUUCCAGUCACGAUCCCAUGAAGAAAUGAGAUAAUGCAUCUUUAGCACAGAUGCUGGAUUCUGCAGUGACCUGAAAUCUUCUGGAGAGAGAUUUGUCACUCCUUUAAUUGUGUUCAAAUAUGCAAAGGUAGACUGAAAAUACCAUUAGCAAGUCAGCAAUUAAUUAACUGUUUUGCUAUAAAUAGGAAAGGUAACACUCAUUUUCUUCUGUCUGGUGACUAGACCUAGUCAGGAGGAAGAAUUGGGUUAUGGAAGGGUGCCCCUGCUCUUAGAUCCUCACCGCUAAGUCCCUGUGGGAGCGCAGAAGUGAAAGAGAGACCGAGAUGUCACGGGAAGGGUUGUUUGAAGGGAGGGAACCUUAGGACAGUACUGGGAAAAUCAGGGAAAGGAAACCCUUCUAACAUUGACUGCAGCUCUUUUAACAUUGGCUGAACAGCAGAGUGAGAAGUCACUAUAAAAUAUUCAACAAAUCAUUUAAAUUUGAAUUGAGGGAACUCAAUUGCUCCAUUAUGAAUUUCAAGUGGAGAAAGAAUUCCUUGAAGAAAGACAAAAAAAAACCCAGUUCUUGAUCUAAUGAGAAUAUUUUUUCCCAUGAAGAUUAAAGAGUGUUAAAUAUGUUGGUAAAACCAAGAGGAUACCAAGGGAUUCUCCUGUUUCCGUAAGCAGUGUAUUGGGAAUCCAGAAAUAACAUCCCCAGGACGUCAUUCUGUGCAGGAAGUCAUCGUCCCUCGAAAGAGGAGCGGAUUGAGCCUGAGAGCCGGCUGCCUGGGUCUGCUCCAAGGCUUUCAGCACCGCUUGGCUGGGCACAGAGGUGCACAGUUACACGGCUAAUUACUUCCAUUGCAUAUGGAAAUCAGGAGAGGGGGAAAUGAUCAUUAUUAUCCAUUUGAGCAUAUGGUUACCUGCUUUUGGUGUGUGGCUGCAGUGCCCUGUUUGUGAUUUCACUCUCAGUUAAACAACAUUGCGCUUUCCAUACGAGGGUUAUUACAGACCAGGCUUAAAGAAAGAGCCCUAAAGCACACUUAAUAACGUGGCAGGAGUUUUAAGAGAUUCUGGUUGAUAUUUGCAAAUCAAUAUGUCAGACACGCUAUCAGAAGCUGGUAGGUCUAAAAAUAUGUUGACCAAACACCAUUUGAAUUGAUCAGUACUUGCUGUACUUGAUCUGUUCUUGCUCAAGGGAAGCUAAGAGAUGCUUUGAAAGAUCAGGUUAAUUUAGGCAUUGUGUUUGGAAGGGCAAUGAAGGCAGCAGUGUUUCUAGCCCUUAGGGUUUGAUAUUUGUUUUUGUUUUGUUUUGUGUUUGUUUGUUGGUUGGUUUGAGUUUGUUUUGGUUGGUUGGUUUUUUUUUUCUGCAAUUUUCGAGUCAUUUUGAAUUUCUUAAAAGUCUCCAUGGGCUGUCCUGACAAACUGGGCUCUGAGGGGUCUCCAGCUCCUCACUGAGGACAGGGAGAUGCAGUCAUGCUGAACAGUCCACACCAUUCUGUGCAUGAAAGGCACCUUCGACUUUCCCUCAACUCUCCUUUUACACUUUAAGAGCAAAGUUCUCAGCUUCAUGGGUGUUAGGAAGAUCCUGAAAGGCAGGGACCAUAAAAGGCUCUGAAACAAAGAAACAAAGAACCUAAAUUGUGUUUGGCUUAGCCAAGUUGGAAUGCUAUUACUUUUAUUAUCGCAGUGGGAGUGAGUUCACGACCACCCAUGAGACUGACAAGGGUCAGAUCAGAGAAGGAUGCUGUGGUAGAUGUGCUCCUUCCUCCUCCCACCCCCCCUCCUCCCCAUGCCAGGCCAGACAUGGCUGCACAGCUCCCUGGGUGUGCAGCAAACUUGAAGCAGGAGGAUGUGAACAAAUGAUCUCAAAACAGCC